rnacentral:rRNA from 1 species
CAGAGGUCCCGAGCGUUGUUCGGAUUCACUGGGCGUAAAGGGUGCGUAGGUGGUGAGGUAAGUCGGAUGUGAAAUCUCCGGGCUCAACCCGGAAAUGGCAUUGGAAACUACCUUGCUGGAGGAUUUGAGGGGGGAUUGGAAUACUUGGUGUAGCAGUGAAAUGCGUAGAUAUCAAGUGGAACACCAGUGGCGAAGGCGAAUCCCUGGAAAAUACCUGACACUGAGGCACGAAAGCUAGGGGAGCAAACAGGAUUAGAUACCCUGGUAGUCCUAGCCCUAAACGGUGCUUGCUCGCUGUAAGAGGAAUCGACCCCUCUUGUGGCGGAGCUAACGCGUUGAGCAAGCCGCCUGGGAAGUACGGUCGCAAGAUUA